AGGUCAGUAGCUCAAUUGGUAGAGCAACGGUCUCCAAAACCGUAGGUCGCGGGUUCGAUUCCUGCCUGGCCUG
rnacentral:tRNA from 1 species